GACGAACGCUGGCGGCGUGCCUAAUACAUGCAAGUCGAGCGAACAGAUGAAGAAGCUUGCUUCUUCUGACGUUAGCGGCGGACGGGUGAGUAACACGUGGGCAACCUACCCUAUAGUUUGGGAUAACUCCGGGAAACCGGGGCUAAUACCGAAUGAUACAUCGCAUCUUAUGUUGCGAUGUUGAAAGAUGGUUCUGCUAUCGCUAUAGGAUGGGCCCGCGGCGCAUUAGCUAGUUGGUGAGGUAACGGCUCACCAAGGCGACGAUGCGUAGCCGACCUGAGAGGGUGAUCGGCCACACUGGGACUGAGACACGGCCCAGACUCCUACGGGAGGCAGCAGUAGGGAAUCUUCCACAAUGGGCGAGAGCCUGAUGGAGCAACGCCGCGUGAGUGAAGAAGGAUUUCGGUUCGUAAAACUCUGUUGUAAGGGAAGAACAAGUACAGUAGUAACUGGCUGUACCUUGACGGUACCUUAUUAGAAAGCCACGGCUAACUACGUGCCAGCAGCCGCCGUAAUAC
rnacentral:rRNA from 1 species